GAUGCAUGUGAAUGUGUUUUUGUUUGUUAUUGAAUGACACAGGCACAACAGAUGCAAGCAAUGCUGUUAUGAUCGAGAUUAGGAUUUUGUAAAUGGAUACAUUAUGUAUCUGGGAUACGAAUGAAAUUUAACGCAAGGUGUGCGCUGGUAAAAUAUGCGGAGGAUGCUGCAUGUUACCUUGGAUGGAGAGUUAUCAGAAGAAACUCCAGGUUGGAAUGUCAGUAAUAUUAGGACAACCAAACUGUCCACCAGGAUGAGCGGCCACCUCCAAACUGUGGCCUAGAGCAUGGUAGACCACCCUGUGACACAACAUGCAGCUGGACAUAAUUAAGGUGACUGGUUAACCCACUUGAAAAGCCAAAUGCUUUAAAGCUUUGCUUCCGGGACAUGGAGGCAAACCUGCCAGAUACCAAAUCUGCAUCAAGGAUUAAUGAUGAUGGCUGAUGAGCCAGCCAGCCCAGAAGUGAUUGUUAGAUGGUUCCCCACAUCCAACUAGAUCAGGGGUUUCCAAACUUUUCUUUUGAAGUAAUCCUGGUACAUUGA